rnacentral:rRNA from 1 species
UACGUAGGUGGCAAGCGUUAUCCGGAAUGACUGGGCGUAAAGGGUGCGUAGGUGGUAUGACAAGUUGGUAGCGUAAUCCCGGUGCUUAACUCCGGAUCUACUACCAAAACUGUUUUACUUGAGUGCAGGAGGGGUAAGUGGAAUUCCUAGUGUAGCGGUGGAAUGCGUAGAUAUUAGGAAGAACACCGGUGGCGAAGGCGACUUACUGGACUGUAACUGACACUGAGGCACGAAAGCAUGGGGAGCAAAC